UUAGUAUAUCGAUCGAUCGCAUGAUAUUCAUGAGGAAAGUCCGUGCUCCAAAACAAGGAUGCCGGAUAACAUCCGGUGAGGGCGACCUUAAGGCAAGUGCAACAGAGAGAUACCGCCGACAUUAGUCGGUAAGGGUGGAAAGGUGGUGUAAGAGACCACCGGCGAUAUAGCGAUAUAUUGGCCAUGUAAACCCCAUCCGGAGCAAGAUCAAAUGGGACGAAAGUCAAAUGGUAGAUCGCUAGAGCUCAUAGGCAACUAUGAGAUUAGAUUGAUGAUCGAAUAAUACAGAACACGGCUUAUAGAUAUACUAUAAAA
rnacentral:RNase_P_RNA from 1 species